UGCCCGGAUAGCUCAGUCGGUAGAGCAGGGGAUUGAAAAUCCCCGUGUCCUUGGUUCGAUUAUUCGCCGCACAGC
rnacentral:tRNA from 1 species